rnacentral:rRNA from 1 species
GGACGAACGCUGGCGGCGUGCUUAACACAUGCAAGUCGAACGGUGAAGCGCCUUCCUUUUUGGUGGGUGUGGAUGAGUGGCGAACGGGUGAGUAACACGUGAGUAACCUGCCCCCUUCUUCUGGAUAACCGCAUGAAAGUGUGGCUAAUACGGGAUAUUCUGGGUCUGUCGCAUGAUGGGUCUGGGAAAGAUAUUGUUUCGGUGGGGGAUGGGCUCGCGGCCUAUCAGCUUGUUGGUGGGGUGAUGGCCUACCAAGGCGGUGACGGGUAGCCGGCCUGAGAGGGUGGACGGUCACACUGGGACUGAGACACGGCCCAGACUCCUACGGGAGGCAGCAGUGGGGAAUAUUGCACAAUGGGCGCAAGCCUGAUGCAGCGACGCCGCGUGAGGGAUGGAGGCCUUCGGGUUGUGAACCUCUUUCGCCAGUGAAGCAGGCCUGCCUCGUUUGUGGGUGGGUUGACGGUAGCUGGAUAAGAAGCGCCGGCUAACUACGUG